rnacentral:rRNA from 1 species
UACGUAGGGUGCAAGCGUUAAUCGGAAUUACUGGGCGUAAAGCGUGCGCAGGCGGCUUUGCAAGACAGAUGUGAAAUCCCCGGGCUUAACCUGGGAACUGCAUUUGUGAUUGCAUGGCUGGAGUGCGGCAGAGGGGGAUGGAAUUCCGCGUGUAGCAGUGAAAUGCGUAGAUAUGCGGAGGAACACCGAUGGCGAAGGCAAUCCCCUGGGCCUGCACUGACGCUCAUGCACGAAAGCGUGGGAGCAAACAGG